UACGGGGGGAGCAAGCGUUGUUCGGAUUUACUGGGCGUAAAGGGCGCGUAGGCGGACAGUUUAGUCGGGGGUGAAAGCCCGGGGCUCAACCUCGGAAUUGCCUUCGAUACUGGCUGUCUUGAGUACGGGAGAGGUGUGUGGAACUCCGAGUGUAGAGGUGAAAUUCGUAGAUAUUCGGAAGAACACCAGUGGCGAAGGCGACACACUGGCCCGUUACUGACGCCUGAGGCGCGAAAGGCGUGGGGGAGCAAAACAGG
rnacentral:rRNA from 1 species